GCAUAUCAAUAAGCGGAGGAAAAGAAACCAACAGGGAUUGCCCUAGUAACGGCGAGUGAAGCGGCAACAGCUCAAAUUUGAAAUCUGGCUCUUUCAGGGUCCGAGUUGUAAUUUGCAGAGGGCGCUUUGGUGUUGGCAGCGGUCCAAGUUCCUUGGAACAGGACGUCACAGAGGGUGAGAAUCCCGUACGUGGUCGCUAGCCUCCGCCGUGUAAAGCCCCUUCGACGAGUCGAGUUGUUUGGGAAUGCAGCUCUAAAUGGGAGGUAAAUUUCUUCUAAAGCUAAAUACUGGCCAGAGACCGAUAGCGCACAAGUAGAGUGAUCGAAAGAUGAAAAGCACUUUGGAAAGAGAGUCAAAUAGCACGUGAAAUUGUUGAAAGGGAAGCGCUUGCAGCCAGACUUGCCUGUAGUUGCUCAUCCGGGCUUUUGCCCGGUGCACUCUUCUAUAGGCAGGCCAGCAUCAGUUUGGGCGGUUGGAUAAAGGUCUCUGUCAUGUACCUCUCUUCGGGGAGGCCUUAUAGGGGAGACGACAUGCAACCAGCCUGGACUGAGGUCCGCGCAUUUGCUAGGAUGCUGGCGUAAUGGCUGUAAGCGGCCCGUCUUGAAACACGGACCAAGGAGUCUAACAUCUAUGCGAGUGUUUGGGUGUCAAGCCCGAACGCGUAAUGAAAGUGAACGGAGGUGGGAACCCCUUUGGGGCGCACCAUCGACCGAUCCUGAUGUCUUCGGAAGGAUUUGAGUAAGAGCAUGGCUGUUGGGACCCGAAAGAUGGUGAACUAUGCUUGAAUAGGGUGAAGCCAGAGGAAACUCUGGUGGAGGCUCGCAGCGGUUCUGACGUGCAAAUCGAUCGUCAAAUUUGGGCAUAGGGGCGAAAGACUAAUCGAACUAUCUAGUAGCUGGGUUCCUGCCGAAG
rnacentral:rRNA from 1 species